CUUUCAGCCCUCACCUCCCAGGAAUGGGGAGGGGGCAUCCUACCCCAUAUCUGAGGUGCGACUGCGGGACGUAGAGCGGACUGGGCCUUUCCCGUUGGCGCGUGGCCUCAAUCAGGCACAUGUGGGCAAGAAGAACCAGACAGUCCAAGAAACCCAAUCAUGUUGAGACAUGGAGAGCAGAAAAGGAAGCGAGCCCGGAAGAAGUGGAACUUCACAUCAAUGUAGUGCUCCCAAACUUUGGCAGUUGCAACUGAUCGUGUGAUAAAUCAUUCAGGCCAAGUGAGAGACAGUAAGAGAAAUGCAAAAGAGCCCAUGGCCUGUGACACUACUUCCAGUUCUACCACCCACCCGGGGGAACUUCCUUCUUGAUCCCCAAAGGCAAGUUGAGGCAAGUAACAGUUGGAUGUCACCCUGUUUAUCCUGGGAACAUUGGCCUGCAGUCAACAGCAGAAGUGCAUUUUUAGGUGGAAGAUGAAUGUCUGGAUAGCAGUCUCUGAUGGAGAGGCACAUGUGUCCACAUGGAUCUCUCUCUGAAUUCAGGUGGAAUGAAGGAAUCUGUUCUAUUUGGGAACUUUUCUGCUACUGGCACUUCCAAGAGGAGAAGCUUCUCCCAAAGUUCCAGGCUUGGAGGUUCAUCCUCCCAUUAUCUUUACAUUCUGUGUCAUGCCAAGGAAAGAAGACAUGCCACCUAUUACCUUGAGAAGUUCCCGUAGGUCCCUUACUAUUCUUAAACUCUACAAAGUGGGUGUGACCCCCAUCCCUGUGCAUGCUCCUUUGUUAACUUUGGCCACUCAUUCUUCACAUUCUUGAAAGCGCCAGAACCCACCAAUAAAUGGCCGGGUCCUCUGCUUAACCAGAUUGUUUCCUGCAAAGCGACAUGUCCUCCAAGCUUCAAUCUCACAUGCCAUGUUGGAUC
rnacentral:lncRNA from 1 species